CGAGUCUCUAGAGUCUAGAUUCAUCAUCUUUGUGUGUCUGAUAAACCCAGAGAAUGAAGAUAUAGAAUCUAUAUAGGCCCCCUAUUAUAUAGAAUCUAGCUCUAGUUGACUCUAGACUAGAUCUAGGAUAAUUUCAGGUCUAGAUGUUCAGCUUCAUCUUACCUUGAUCAUGAUGAUUAAUUUUAAUCUGACUUCCUGACUUGUUAACUUAAACUUAGUCACUUAGUCUUACUUAGCCUUAGGCGCCUUAGCCUUAGCUUCUUCAUAUGUGAAUCAUGAAUGGAAGUGCUUGGCUCACAGUGUCACAGAUCGUUCUUUAAACUAUUUGAAGAUCUACUUUAUCUUUACUAACGACUCUAAUCUAUAUCUAGUUUAUAUCUAUAUUUUAUAUGAUAAUAAUAGACCUAGACUCUUAUACUUAUAAUAAAGACAAAGUUAUAAGAUCUAGAAUCUGUAUCUAGAUCUAUUCCCAUUUGUGAUUUAUACACUGAUUAUACACUACAGAUUUAAUGUUUCUGAUGAGCAAUACUACUAUCUACAGCCAUGCCCAUUAACAUAGGCCCUACUCAUGUACUAGAUCUAGCUCUUUUGAUCACAACUCAUAUCUUGCCUAGAUAUAAACAACUGUACUAGAUUGGACUAGACAUUCUAAUCGGUUCUAUUUUCGUUUUUCAUUAUUCUCACAUAUUCUAGUAGGCAAUAGGUACCAAAUUGUGCUAUUUAUUCACUGUAGAUCUAGAUCUUAACUUUUCUCUUAACUUUCAAAGAAGUACACAAAGGAUGUUGAAAGGUACCCAAAGGGCUCUAAUUGCUACCAUUCAAUGUGUGGAAUCAAGUAUUUACCCAGAUACUGCCACAAUAUGCUCUAUUGUUUUCAAAGGAGUUUUCACACAGUGCCAGAAGCUGUAUAAUUGCAUUUAACAAUGUAUAUUUCAAGAAGAAAUGAUGCUUUCUUAUUUCUAAGAGUUUAUCAAUAGGAUGAAUGCCACAAAACUCACUUGUUAUGCCAGAAACUCUUCCUACGAAACUUCCAUACUAGAAUUUGUCCAGUGCCUGUGAUCCUCUGAGUUGAAGGAGAAUGUGCUCCAUAAUACCUACUAGGAGCUUGCUGAUAGCUGGAAGUUCAUGAAUACUAUGUUGUCUUUGAUUUGAUGAUUCUGAAAACUACCAUUUCUGAAGACUUGAGCAUUAUUUCUAUAAGUUAAAAAAAUCUUUUCAGGAAAUAUUGUGUUUAUAAUAUUAAGAAAGUGAAGAUAAUAUUGUUCUUACUAAUAUUAUUGACUUAUUAUCUCAUUAGCUACUAAUGCGCCCAAUUGCGCCCUUCCCCCCUCAGUACUAAUGCGCCCAAAUGCACCCGCCACAGCACACAUACAGCGUGACUUGCGUAGCUCUCGUUUUCCUGCGCGACGCGUGGUGUGAUUUUGAGCUGGCUGGGUUUUUUAAAAAGUAGAAAUAUAGAUCGUUUCGUUAAAAAAAACCGGAUGUUUUUACGUCUUUCGCUUCAGUUUCUAUGGGCCUUUGAAGUUUGUUGAUUUUUUUUUUCGAUUUUUCUUAGCUGCACAGACCAUUUUCUCAAUGACCUUUCAAUUUUUAGACCCGUUAUCGCAAAUAAUACACUAAAUACAGCUAAUAAUGAACUUGAUAUUGAUCAAGACAUUGAUCAUUAGAAUUUAGCGCUACAUUUAGACUUAGAUCUAGUCCGAUUCAGAGAGAGAGUGAAGGAAACAUUAGAUCGAUCAUCUAACCUAGAUCUAGACUAUUCUGGAUCUAGCGUCAAUGAAUCUUCAACAUCUUUGACUGAUAUUUUGAACAGUUUUUAUUUACCACAUGAAAACUUUAGAUGAAAUAGAUCUAGUUGGGGGUGUUCACAACGUUGGUUUGGACAAUGGUUUGAUUACUUUUGCUUUGUUAUGCUAGAAGUCAUGAAAUCUGAGACACAUGCAAAACCACAUCAGCAUGAUGCCGUGUUCAGGCAACUAAGGGCCUCACGCGUACCCAGUGAAAGUCAGUAAAUACUCAAGACAUAUACAGAUUUUAUAUAUAAGCAUAAUGUUUAUUGUAUAGGCCUACUAAAUUCCUACUUAAAAACAUUACUGGUCUUUGGGUAAAAUUUAAAUAUUACCAAAAAUUACAUCUGAUUGGGGGGGGGGGGGGGGUCCACCAAAUUUAAAAAAUCAGGCACUCGAACAAAUUUUCGUCUUUGCCUGUUAUUUUUAUUGUUUUAAUCUUGUAAAACCUAUUCAAGUUAUACAUCAUUUUAAAGGUCAUCCAUUUCUCUUUUUUUAGAAGUAUUUUUUGUUAUUGAUAGAUGUUGUUUUAUGUUAUUUAAAAUAUAUUUUGUAAAGUCAGUCUAUUGAUGUUUUGGAGUUACCUCCCUUUGCUUAGUAUUUAGAGAGAUGCUGCUUAGGUAUGGGCUUAGUAGCUAAUGAGUUAAAAUAGAAAGCACAUCAUUACCAAUAUUCACUUGUCAAUAAAUGUUAGCAUUAUUCAAUUUUUAGUUACAUGUUCAAACUAUUAAAUUUUAUUAUUUAAAUUAUAGCAACUUUCUCUUUCAGUCCAGCUUAAGAUACAUUCCUGUAAAAAGUCUAUGAUAAUAAGUUAAUGUCGAUGUAGUAUUGUUCAGACACUUACAAGUUUAAUCAUCUAUACUUCACAAAAAAAAAAGUGUUUGAAUGGUUUUCAUUUGUUUGUACAUCAAAUAUGUAUUAAUAUAAUUAUCAUUUUUAGAUGAAACAUUAAAUACUGAAGAUGACCAUUUCAAUUUCUGAUGUAGGCCUAUUCUCAUUUCAUGAAAUAAACAGAAUAUUAUCUGAAA